ensembl:lncRNA
CAAGUGCAUGGCAGUCGUCACAGGACUCAACAAUGCUACGAGCCUCUGUUGGCGUUAGCUGAAACUGCUUCUGCAGAGUAUGUGCAUUCUGAUGGAAAAACCCAUGUGAUGCCUUGGCCUGUGCGAGUGUAUCAGGCUGGGGUGCUACCCACGCCGGAUUAGCCAACUUGUCAGCCCUCGCGUUACCUUCUGCUACAAACCCUGGUAAAUUGGUGUGACUUCUCACAUGCAGAACGUAAAACGGAUGAACCCGGGCCUGAAUAGCACACCACAAGGUCCUCAGUAAAUGAAACAAGGCAGGGUUACUGACCUCCUUCAAAACUGAGUGACCCAACCGCUGUGCGAUAUCAGCCACAUAGGCAGAAUCCGUGACCAAAUUGAAAGGUUCCUGGGAAAAUCUCUCAAAUGCCAUAACAGCGGCCCUCAACUCAACCACUUGGGCCGACCCAUCCUGAUGACCUUUCAGAACCUUCCACUCAGAUCCGUCCUUCCAAGUAACAAUGGCCUUUCCUGUUUUCCCCGAACCGUCAGUAAAGACGGUGGGUCCUUGCACAGGUUCCUGACUAUUUUUGGGCCGCAAAGAGAUCUGCAUAGAUUUUGCCACCUGCAGUAGCUUGUGGCUGGGCAAAUGAUAAGUGAUCUGCCCUGAAAAGUUUUCUAGAGCACAUUGCAGGGACACACAGUGUGCAAAGCUCCAGUCAAAGUCCUCCCGGGAUAUCGGGAGUAUGAUCUUUGCAGGAUCCGCACCCAUCAAUUGCAAACACCGUUGCCGGCAUUUCAUUAUCAACCGAGCAAUCAACUCAGCCAAUGUCGUUGCCGUCUUCUGCGGCUGAUGGGGCAGGAAAACCCAUUCCAAGAUGUGCAAGGGAUCGGACCAUUUGUCACUCCAUUGACCAAUGAUACCUGUGGGAUGCGAAUCUGGAGUGGUAACGAACACAGCGACAUCAACGGAAAGAUCAAUGCGAUAAACCUGACGGGCAGAAACAGCCUGCUGAACCUCCUCCAGCACCUGACGUGCCUCAGGGGUCAAUGUGCGAGGUGAUUUUAAAUCAGAGUCUCCUUUCAACAGAUCAUACACAGGAGACAGUUGUGCAUCGGUUAGUCCCAAGUAUGGACGUAACCAGGUGAUGACACCCAUCAGUUUUUGAACAUCAUUCAGUGUCUUCACCGAGUGUGCAAAUUGCACCUCCUGGUGUUGGAUUGUCCGUUCCAGAAUUUUGACCCCCAAAUACUUCCAAGGAGGUUGCUGUUGAACCUUUUCUGGAGCCACCUGCAGCCCAUGAGCAUGCAAAGCAUCGAGCAACCGAGGCUGAAUCCUCAGCAGCUCAUCCUGAGUGGACGCAGCCACCAAGAUGUCGUCCAUAUAAUGAUACAGACGUGCAUCAGGAAACUGCUUGCGAACUCCAGACAAGGCACGGGCCACAUACCAUUGGCAUAUGACCGGGGAAUUGCGCAUCCCCUGUGGCAGAACUUUCCAUUGAUAUCGCUGUGCAGGCUCAUCAUUGUCAAUUGCUGGCACCGUGAAGGCAAAUUUCGGUCUGUCAUCGGGAUGCAAAGGAAUUGUAAAGAAACAAUCCUUCAAAUCCACGAUGAAGAUCGGCCAGCCUGCAGGAAGCAUGGUAGGCGAUGGCAUGCCCGCCUGCAAUGUUCCCAUGCCUUCCAUGACAGCAUUGACCUUCCGGAGGUCCUGUAACAACCUCCAUUUCCCAGACUUCUUUUUGAUGCAGAAAACAGGGGUGUUCCAGGGACUGUUAGAAGGCUCCAGACGACCCUGGUCCAGCUGCUCCUGCACCAAUUUCCGAAGGGCGAUCAGUUUAUCUUGAGGGAGGGGCCACUGGUUUUCCCAAACAGGUGUAUCCACCAGCCACCGUAUAGGAGGCGUAGGACACUCUGCGCCCUUCGCUGCAGUGGCCCCCAUCAAAAACCCGUCCCAAUGCGCACCCCCCACGCAGAUAGAACAUCCCUCCCCCAGAGGUUAGCAGGAGAAGAAGUAACAUAAGGCCUAAUCCAGGCCGUCUGUCCCUCUGGGUUUGUGACCAGCACAGGCCGUUGGCUCACAUAACACCGUGCUGUUCCCCCCAGGCCCGCAACAGACGUCUCCGCUGGAUCCAGGGGCCAGUCCGGAGGCCAGGCGGCAAGGGAGAGAACCGUGACAUCAGCGCCGCUGUCAAGGAGCCCGCGCAGGCGGAUCUCUGACGGUGUUGCAUCAGGGAUGGAGAGGGUACACAGCAUCUCGGGACGGUCUUUGGUCAGGACAGCAGUCCAGUGAACUUGAGGCGGCCCAGUGGAUCCAAAACCGCCAUCACCUCGCAACCGGUCAGUCGUCCUGCGCACAGAAGACUUAAAAGGCACAAGUUGAGCAAGCCGUGUCCCUUUUGGGAUCGUAACAGGGGGUGUGGGUGUGGAAACCAUUGCACAAAUCUGCCCUGUGAAGUCUGCAUCAAUGAGACCCAGGUGCACAAUGACGCCCUGAAGGGUGGCACUAGACCUCCCCAUGAGGAAGGCGCUCAUGCCUUCACCCAAGGGACCAAAGGCGUCCAGGGGAACCUUGUGCACCUUGCAAGAGUCUAACACGACUGUUGCUGCUGUGCAGACAUCCACACCUGCUGACCCGCGGGUGCUGGCGACAAGCUGGCCGAGCAGACCUCCAUGGGCUCUGGGGUCUGGAGAGGAACUUGUGUCUGAGCGCGCCCCCCCUUCGCGCUCCGCUUCCCGUUUCCCGGGCCCGGGAGUGCUUGGCCAUUAACAUGAACC